CAGAGUUGCAAGACUCCCUAAACCAUUGUGAACCUACCUUCUACCGUUGCUUUGGCGGGCGGGCCCAGCGCCCCCCCGGCCCCCCGCGGGCGCCCGCCGGAGGAUACCCAAACUCUUUGACAUUAGUGGCCUCUCUGAGUAUUCUUUACUGAAUAAGUCA
rnacentral:misc_RNA from 1 species